rnacentral:tRNA from 1 species
GGCUUUAUAUUCAUAAAUGAUUUUAAAUUGCAAAUUUAAAGGUGUAACUUCUUACUAAGGCUU